GAAAGUAAAUAAGGGCGCAUGGAGGAUGCCUUGGCUCUUAGAGGCGAUGAAAGACGUGAUAAGCUGCGAUAAGCUAGGGGGAUUGGCAAAUACGAUUUGAUCCCUAGAUUUCUGAAUGGGACAACCCGGCUAGUUGAAGACUAGUCAUUCCGCAAGGAAAGCAAACCCUCUGAACUGAAACAUCUAAGUAGGAGGAGGAGAAGAAAAUAAAUAAUGAUUCCGUAAGUAGUGGCGAGCGAACGCGGAACAGCCCAAACCAGAGUAAUUACGGUUACCCUGGGGUUAUAGGACUACAAUGUGGACUUAUAUUUAAUAGUGGAAUAGGUUUGGAAAGGCCGAUCAAAGAGGGUGAUAAUCCCGUACACGAAAUUAAGUAUAUACCUAGUAGUAUCCUGAGUACUGCGGGGUCGGAGACGCCCUGUAGGAAUUUGCCGGCACCAUCCGGUAAGGCUAAAUACUCCUAAGAGACCGAUAGUGAACUAGUACUGUGAAGGAAAGGUGAAAAGAACCGCGAACAGCGGAGUGAAAUAGAACCUGAAACCAUACGCUUACAAGCGGUCGGAGCCCUUUAGUGGGGUGACGGCGUGCCUUUUGCAUAAUGAGCCUACGAGUUGCUCUUUACUGGCAAGGUUAAGCACUUAAGGUGCGUGAACCGAAGCGAAAGCGAGUCUGAAUAGGGCGCAAAGUCAGUAGAGGCAGACGCGAAACCUUGUGAUCUACCCAUGGUCAGGAUGAAGUUCCGUUAACCCGGAAUGGAGGUCCGAACCGAUAAGCGUUGAAAAGCUUCCGGAUGAACUGUGGGUAGGGGUGAAAGGCUAAUCAAACUAGGAAAUAGCUCGUACUCCCCGAAAUGCCUUUAGGGGCAGCGUAGAGGUUAAGUCUUAUAGAGGUAGAGCUACUGAUUGGAUGCGGGGGAAGCGAUUCCUACCAAGUCCUGACAAACUCCGAAUGCUAUAAGAUAUACUCUGCAGUGAGCCCGUGGGUGCUAAGGCCCACGGACGAGAGAGGGAGAACUCAGACCAACAGCUAAGGUCCCAAAAUCUAUACUAAGUUGAUAUAACGUGGUCCGAUUGCAUUGACAGCCAGGAUGUUUGCUUGGAAGCAGCCAUUCAUUUAAAGAGUGCGUAACAGCUCACUGGUCGAGCGAUUGGGCGUGGAUGAUACUCGGGCAUCAAGUAUAGUACCGAAGCUUUGGGAUUGCAUGAUAAAUGUAAUCGGUAGGGGAGCAUUCUAACUGCGUUGAAGAAGUUGCGUAAGCGCUAUUGGAGCGGUUAGAAAAGCAAAUGUAGGCAUAAGUAACGAUAAAAUAGGCGAGAAACCUAUUCGCCAAUAGACUAAGGUUUCCUGAACAACGAUAAUCGGUUCAGGGUUAGUCGGGACCUAAGGCGAAGCCGAAAGGCGUAGUCGAUGGACAACUGGUUAAUAUUCCAGUACUAAUACCACUGCGAUGGAGAGACGAAAAAACGUAAAUGCGACGCACGGACGGAAGUGUGCGUUUAAGACCGUAGGGUUAACAUUGGUAGGCAAAUCCGCCAGUGUUCUGAAAGUUGAAAGUACCUUGAGUCGUCAGACAAGAGGAUAUGCAUCCAAGUAUGUUUCCGAGAAAAACUUCUAAGCUUCAGGUGAGUAUUACCCGUACCGCAAACCGACACAGGUAGUCAAGUAGAGUAUACUAAGGCGCUCGAGUGAUCCGUGGCUAAGGAACUAGGCAAAUUAACCCCGUAACUUCGGGAGAAGGGGUGCCCCCAGCAAUGGGGGCCGCAGAGAAAUGGCGGUGGCGACUGUUUAACAAAAACACAGGGCUUUGCAAAAACGAAAGUUGAAGUAUAAGGCCUGACACCUGCCCGGUGCUGGAAGGUUAAGAGGAGAGGUCAUCGCAAGAGAAGCUUUGAAUCGAAGCCCCAGUAAACGGCGGCCGUAACUAUAACGGUCCUAAGGUAGCGAAAUUCCUUGUCGGGUAAGUUCCGACCUGCACGAAUGGUGUAACGAUCUGGACACUGUCUCAGCCAUGAGCUCGGUGAAAUUGUAGUAACGGUGAAGAUGCCGUUUACCCGCAGUGGGACGAAAAGACCCUGUGCACCUUUACUAUAGCUUAGUAUUGACCUUGGAUAAAUGAUGUGUAGGAUAGGUUGGAGACUGUGAAGUGGCGUCGCUAGGCGUUGUGGAGUCAUUGUUGAAAUACAACCCUUUGUUUAUCUGAGGCCUAACCCCGCUUUGCGGGGGACAUUGCUUGGUGGGUAGUUUGACUGGGGUGGUCGCCUCCAAAAGAGUAA
rnacentral:rRNA from 1 species